AGGGCUGUCGGUGGAUGCCUUGGGAGAAGUAGACGAUGAAGGACGUAGCAGGCUGCGAUAAGCCUCGGGUAGGUGCCAAGCAACCUUUAAUCCGGGGAUUUCCGAAUGGGGUAACCCCCCCGCAGAGAUAACCACGUGAACUGAAACAUCUUAGUAACGUGAGGAAAAUAGAAAAAUAUUUUAUUCCCUUAGUAGUGGCGAGCGAAAAGGGAAGAGUCUAAACUUUCGUUGUGUUAAAGCCUACUGGCCUUGCAGCGAGAGGGUUAUAAGAGAUUGCAUCUUGAACAGUAGAUCAAGUCAGAAGUCAAAAAUUAUUUUCUUAGCCGAAAGUCUCUGGAAAGAGCUACCAUAGCGAGUGACAGUCUCGUAGGCGAAAAGAAAAUAACUUCGAGCAGUUUUCUUAAGUACGGCGGGACCCGUGAAAUCCUGUCGGAAAUUGCCAGGACCAUCUGGUAAGACUAAAUACUACUUCUCACCGAUAGUGAACUAGUACCGUGAGGGAAAGGUGAAAAGUCCCCCGAGAGGGGAGUGAAAUAGUACCUGAAACUGACAGCCCGUAUAAAAGUCGGAGCCCCUCACUAAUUUUGAGGUGAUCUAUUUUUUGUAGUCCGUGUAUUAAAAAGCAUGGGAUAACAUUAAAAUGAUUACGCCAGAAUUAGUGAGGGGUGACGGCGUGCCUUUUGUAGAAUGAGCCGACGAGUUAAUCUCAACAGCGAGGCUAAGCUUUUAAGAAAGCGGAGCCGUAGCGAAAGCGAGUGUGAAUAGCGCGACUUAGUUGUUGGGAUUAGACCCGAAACCGGGUGAUCUAAUUAUGGUCAGGCUGAAGCUGCCCUAAUAAGCAGUGGAGGGCCGCACCCACUUACGUUGAAAAGUGAGGGGAUGAACUGUGAUUAGCGGAGAAAUUCCAAUCGAACCCGGAGAUAGCUGGUUCUCUUCGAAAUAUAUUUAGGUAUAGCCUCGUGUGUUCGUUGAAGUGGUAGAGCUACUGAAUGGAUUCGGGCGGGAAACCGUACCGCGUCCAAUUAAACUCCGAAUACUUCAUACUCAAUAACACGGGAGUCAGUCUGUGACGGCUAAGCGCCAUGGUCGAGAGGGGAAAAACCCAGACCACCAAUUAAGGUCCCUAAAUUCUAGCUAAGUGUUAAAGGAAGUGGAGAUACAUAAACAACCAGGAGGUUGGCUUAGAAGCAGCCACCCUUUAAAGAAAGCGUAACAGCUCACUGGUCGACGUAUUUCCGCGCCGAAAAUUUAUCGGGGCUCAAGCUAGGUACCGAAGUUGUGGCUGCCGCUGCUUUGCAGCGGUGGAGUAGAAGAGCGUUCUGUUCGGCGGUGAAGCCUGACCGUGAGGUCUGGUGGAGCGGACAGAAGUGAGAAUGUCGGCACGAGUAACGUAACAACGCAGGUGAAAAACCUGCGCGCCGAAAACCUAAGGUUUCCUGGGCUAUGUUAAUCAUCUCAGGGUUAGUCGGUCCUAAGGCGAGGCCGUAAGGCGUAGUCGAUGGACAACAGGUUAAUAUUCCUGUACUACUGUUGAUUCGUCCCAAACUUUGUGCGUUCUACGCCGGAAAGGUUAUCCCUCACUUUCUCGAACUGAUUAUUUUGUUAAAAAUUAUUUACUCAGGUAAGUAGUUUAUCAAAAGAUUGAAAUUGGUUUUAGAAAGUGAGGGACAAACGUCUGGUUGCAGAUGCAUUAAGUUUAGCUAAGGGGUGACGCGGUUUGGUAGAUUGAGCGAGUAUAGGUUUGCUCGUCUAAACUUUUAGUAGGAUCUCUUUGGCAAAUCCGGGAGAUCGGUCUGGCGUAAGCUGGGCAACUGCGAGAAGUGAUAGAAAGCGUUUCGGCUUGCCGGAAUGCAAUUUGAUUGAUCUAAACUGACCGGAAAACCCUCUCUGCGAGAAUUAAUGGUAUCCGUACCACAAACCGACACGGGUAGGUAGGUCGAGUAGACUAAGGCGAUCGAGACAACCCUCUUUAAGGAACUCGGCAAAAAAGCGUCCGUAACUUCGGGAUAAGGACUGCCAGCCAGAUUUUAUUUAUUAAGGUUUGGUUGGCCUCAGCGAAAGAUUUUCAUGCGACUGUUUAGCAAAAACUUAGGUCUCUGCUAACUCGAAAGAGGAUGUAUAGGGACUGAUGCUUGCCCAAUGCCAGAAGGUCACGUAGAUUGGUUAUUCAGAUUUAUCUGGAAAAGCUGAAACAUUAAGCCCUGGUGAAUGGCGGCCGUAACUAUAACGGUCCUAAGGUAGGAAAAGUUCCGACCCGCACGAAUAGCAUAACGAUAUGAAAACUGUCUCAAAGAGGGGCUCGGUGAAACUACAUUGCCGGUGAAGAUGCCGGCUAUGCGCAGCAAGACAAAAAGACCCCGUGGAGCUUUACUACAUCCUGAUACUGAAUUAAGUUUUAGUUUGUGUAGGAUAGGUGGGAGACUUAGAAGCCUGGGCGUUAGCCUGGGUGGAGUCAACGUUGAAAUACCACCCUAAUUAUUUCUUAAUUCUAACCUUUGCCGUAAUCCGGUAUGGGGACAGUGUUUGGUGGGUAGUUUAACUGGGGCGGUUGCCUCCCAAAAAGUAACGGAGGCGUUCAAAGGUUCCCUAGCAUCGAAUGGAAACCGAUGUGAUAGCGCAAUAGCAUAUGGGAGCUUAACUGCGAGACUUACAAGUCCAGCAGAUACGAAAGUAGGAUAUAGUGAUCCGACGGUUGCACAUGGGUGCGCCGAAGCUCAACGAAUAAAAGUUACCCCGGGGAUAACAGGCUUAUCAGGUCCAAGAGUCCACAUCGACGACCUGGUUUGGCACCUGAUGUCGGCCCGUCGCAUCCUGGAGGGGAAGCACCUUCCAAGGGUUUGGCUGUUCGCCAAUUAAAGCGGCACGCGAGCUGGGUUCAGAACGGUGAGACAGUUCGGUCUCUAUCUGCUGUGCAUGUAGGAAAUUUGAGGAUAGUCACUUCUAGUACGAGAGGACCGAAGUGAACGAACCGCUGGUGUACCAGUUGUUUUACCAAAAGCACCGCUGGGUAGCUAUGUUCGGACAGGAUAAGCGCUGAAAGCAUCUAAGUGCGAAGCCCCAUCCAAAACAGAUUUCCAGUCCGUAAGGAUAAAGGACCCAAGUAGACCACUUGGUUGAUAGGCAACAAGUGUAAGCCCAGUAAUGGGUUGAGCUGAGUUGUACUAAUAGUCCA
rnacentral:rRNA from 1 species